AUGAAUCUUGGUCAUGAACUUCGGAUUUUCAUAGACAAUGUCCGAGCGGACCAAAGAUUUGCCAAUUUGGAUGGCAUUGCUGAUCUUGCCAAAGUGUUGGUGGAAACUAAAAAGCAUCUUGAUUUUCCUUUGGUGUAUCAACUUCUCAAGUUGGUGCUAAUUUUGCCAGUUGCCACAGCGUCAGUGGAGAGAUGCUUUUCAGCAAUGAAUAUCGUCAAGAGUGUUUUGCGGAACAGAAUGGGUGAUGAGUUCACGAGUGAUUGCCUGAUUUGCUAUGUGGUGAAAGACAUAUUUUCUACAAUAACGAAUGAUGAUGUGAUUGAUCUAUUUAAGAAGAUGGAAGAUCGAGAAGGGAAGUUAUAA
rnacentral:rRNA from 1 species